rnacentral:rRNA from 1 species
AACGCUAGCUACAGGCUUAACACAUGCAAGUCGAGGGGCAGCAUUAGGUAGCAAUACUGAGAUGGCGACCGGCGCACGGGUGCGUAACGCGUAUCCAACUUUCCCGUUACUCUGGGAUAGCCUUCCGAAAGGGAGAUUAAUACCGGAUGGUGUUGAAAAUUCGCAUGUUAUUUCAACUAAAGAUUUAUCGGUAACGGAUAGGGAUGCGUGACAUUAGGUAGAUGGCGGGGUAACGGCCCACCAUGCCUACGAUGUCUAGGGGUUCUGAGAGGAAGGUCCCCCACACUGGAACUGAGACACGGUCCAGACUCCUACGGGAGGCAGCAGUGAGGAAUAUUGGUCAAUGGUCGGAAGACUGAACCAGCCAAGUAGCGUGAAGGAUGAAGGUUCUAUGGAUUGUAAACUUCUUUUAUAUAGGAAUAAAACCUCCCACGUGUGGGAGCUUGUAUGUACUAUAUGAAUAAGCAUCGGCUAACUCCGUGCCAGCAGCCGCGGUAAUACGGAGGAUGCGAGCGUUAUCCGGAUUUAUUGGGUUUAAAGGGAGCGUAGACGGGAUGUUAAGUCAGUUGUGAAAGGCUGCGGCUCAACCGCAGCACUGCAGUUGAUACUGGCGUCCUUGAGUGCGGUUGAGGUGUGUGGAAUUCGUGGUGUAGCGGUGAAAUGCUUAGAUAUCACGAAGAACUCCGAUUG